rnacentral:rRNA from 1 species
AUUGAACGCUGGCGGCAGGCCUAACACAUGCAAGUCGAACGGUAACAGGAAGACGCUUGCUUCUUUGCUGACGAGUGGCGGACGGGUGAGUAAUGUCUGGGAAACUGCCUGAUGGAGGGGGAUAACUACUGGAAACGGUAGCUAAUACCGCAUAACGUCGCAAGACCAAAAAGGGGGACCUUCGGGCCUCUUGCCAUCGGAUGUGCCCAGAUGGGAUUAGCUAGUAGGUGGGGUAACGGCUAACCUAGGCGACGAUCCCUAGCUGGUCUGAGAGGAUGACCAGCCACACUGGAACUGAGACACGGUCCAGACUCCUACGGGAGGCAGCAGUGGGGAAUAUUGCACAAUGGGCGCAAGCCUGAUGCAGCCAUGCCGCGUGUAUGAAGAAGGCCUUCGGGUUGUAAAGUACUUUCAGCGGGGAGGAAGGGAGUAAAGUUAAUACCUUUGCUCAUUGACGUUACCCGCAGAAGAAGCACCGGCUAACUCCGUG